GCUGCAUGCUGAUGCCCUCCAGGAGGAGGAGGAGGAGUUUGCUGGUGUGGCACAACCUGUGAGGUGUGGACCAUGUGUGGGGGCUGCUCUUUGCUCUGGUGAGGCACUUCAGUCAUCUCUUCAGACUGCUCUGCAGCUCUCUGAGAUUGAGUUGUCCUGAAGGAUCCAACCAAGCCUGUCGCAUAUGGCAGCCAUGAGAGCACUGUGCCUGGAAGAGUGAGCUACGGAAGCACAGCCCAUUUAUCCUUACUCCAAAUGUUCCAUUUUUUUCCAUAUUUAUUGCACAUUCAUUCCAUUUUCUUCCUGGUUUUAAUUGGAAAAAGAAAAAAAGUCCAAGUGGACCUGUUUUUUUUGUAGGAAUAACAGGAAGACAUUCUGAAAUAAAAAUGUUCUUGCAAUUUCCCAAAACCAAACGCAGCUCAGUUUCCAGUCAGAAUCAGAGACUUGUGAAUCUUGUUAACGUGAGCUACAUUUCAGCUGAAGAACAAGUAAGGUGCCACCGUACUUUCAUUUCGUCUGUAUUAAAUUUCGUCCCUCACUAUCUGCCCACCGUCAAUGGCAGACAAAUCUUCGUUGCCAAAAGAAGCAUAUAAUGUAGAUCAGAGACUGCUAGCACCAUGCUGAUAUCCUUUUAUGAUGGCUUCAUAUAUAUGCUGAAUAGAGGAAUUCUUGGUAAUUUGUCAUCCUUUGGGAUCUCUGAGCUACCGAAAGGUGCUGACCUUUGCCAUGCAAUAAAAAUGAAACAGGCAAUAGGCAACCCUGUAGAUAAUAAUGCAUUCUAAUAUAUCUACAUUAUCUACCCCCAUGCUGAAUUUAUGGCUCUUUUCCAUGUCUGGAGAUGACAGAUAAUACCAAAGCUGCUUUAUUACAACUUUUGGCUUCCUGCCAAAAUUAGAGCAUCUAAAAAUAGAUCCGUAAUUAUGAUCUGCCUCUGAAGUCGCUGUCUGGAACAUGAGUCCAGAAGCUGCUGACAGCAGCCAACAGUGGGUGCCCAGACAGAGCAACAGAACAAGCGUGUAAGGAUGGUCCCCCCAGGGACUUUUCUCAACCUGCAACAAUUUGCAGCUCACCAACUUCUUGAGAGGUAAAACAGCCCUUAAAGAAACUUUCUUUUAUGAAUUUGUCCAUUCUUUUUGUUAAGUCUAUAUCAAGCCAAAAAUAUCACCAAUAUGGGUCACUUCUAUUUUUCUUCUCUGAUCAAGCUCUUUCCCACUGGAUUGGUGGGAAGGUGAUGUAUUUAUUUUUUAUGACUCAGGUGGAAAGGACUCUCUUUACAGGGCUGGAUGGCCAGGUUUGUGGUGAAAUAGCUGCUAUAAUUCUGCUUGGGUUUCCUAUUAUCACUAAUGAUUUGCUAGGGCACUUGAAGCCUGCAAUGCAAUCCCUUAAAAAGAUUUUAAAUCUAAACACAUUCAAAAAACUGUACAUUCACUCAGCAUGGCUUACGUUCCUAUUUUCUGACACUACAGCCCUAAUUCUUUUGACAUUCUGAAGUCUGUCCCUGUGGGCGAUUAACAAUGCCACCAUCAUCAAGAACUACAGGCCCUGAACGGGAACUUGCACAGCAGUGCCCUGAAAGUGGGGAGUGUUCAGUGGCUGUAGAAACCUCAUCUGCAUGAGACUGUCUUGCUCUUUUGCUUUCGUUUCCAUCUCUUGCCAUCCAUGGAAGUUAAUUACUUACAUUAAUUAAUAGAAACUUUGUGCCAAGCGAACUCUGCCGGGUGAGGGGGGUCAGCUGAAAGCAACUUUUUCGUUUUCAAUGGGAGUCCAGUGAUGGACUUCGGCUAUAGAAGUUGGGGGGGAAGGAUGCAAAACAAUCUUUCCUCUUUUCAAGUCAGAUUUUUGUUGGCAGAUAAUUUACACUGACUGGCAAAUGGUACCAAAAUGGAUGCAUAUUUUUGUAUAUUUGUUGCUGUCUUACAAGCUUUCAGACGCUUUAUUGAAAUCAUGUGUAUUGAGGUGAUAUUUGUCUAUGAUUUUAUAGAAUACAUAAAUGCACAAUGAUGCUUAUCCAUGAUGGUCUUAUCACAUAGUGCUGCAUAAUCAACAGACACCUAAAGAUCGGAUGCUCUAGAAAAAACAUAAUAGAUGAGGCAUGAUUUUAAACAAGAAUAAUUAUCCCAAUAUAAUGCCUCAUACAGACUCGCUUAUUUCCAUGUAAAUGUGUGGUUUUUGUCUUGAGUUGUGUAACUUUGGAUGGUAUUAUCCUGGAAUGAAAGCAACUGUAUGUCAAUUAAAUUAAGUUCCUAUAACAAAGUUAUCUGUAGCAGGGGAGGUUUAGGUUGGAUAUUAGGAAGAAGUUUUUCACAUAGUGGGUGGUGACACACUGGAACAGGUUGCCCAAGGAAGCUGUGGAUGCCCCAUCCCUGGAGGCAUUCAAGGCCAGGCUGGAUGUGGCUCUGGGCAGCCUGGUCUACUGAUUGGCGACCCUGCACAUAGCAGGGGGGUUGAAACUCGAUGAUCAUUGUGGGCCUUUUCAACCCAGGCCAUUCUAUGAUGAUUCUAUGAUUCUAUGAAUCCGUUCCCACCAGAUCAUGUCUAUAUUACAAGUUCACUGGCACACACCUUCAAUGAGCUAGGGAGCACUCAUUCUCAUUCAUGCUGAGGGAUGACAGAAAAAGAAAGUGGAAGGCAGUACAAUAUAUUCAAAGAGCUUUUUUAGAUGAACAGUUUGUGGAACAAUAUAAAUGGCAGCAGAAGCAUGAUGCUUUGCUUACCUGAUUUUAUGAAGCCUUCCUAGAAAGUGUGAUGUGACGGGGAGAUCCUGCCCUUCAGAAGUUAAUGGGAAGCAUUUCAGCGUUGCUACAGGGGCAGGAUUUUUGUCUGUUGGUAUCCUGUUCCCAUCCUUCCUCCUCUCCUGCACUCGAACAGGAGACAAGGAACUGUAUUGCUGUUAUUUCAGCUGUCAUUUCAAAGGAAGGAGACUGGCUUAAUUCCCUAUCACCAGGUCAGUUAACUGGUUGGUGGUCAUAAAGGAUAACAAUUUUUAUUGUUUAAUUUAGACAUAGGCUAGAAUAAAAUAGUUUGAAUUUUCUCAGAAUAUGAUCUGUCUCUUGGAUGAAGAAGCAUAAAAGCUUCUUUUAAUAGGAAGUUGUGGCUUGAGUCACAACUGGAGAAAUCCCAGCACCUAAAGUCACUGAAAUAAAACUUCUCUGUGUAGCCAAAAGCGAAACAUGUUCUGUUCUUUGUAAGAAUUGUGAGCCAUGUUAGGUGCAUUGUAUCCACGUCAGUUUUUGGAACAGAGGUUAAGCUCCUAGUUAGAGACUGUUAAAACAGGGCUUGGGAAAACUGAGAAAUAGAUAGUGCUAACUGGUUGUGGCUAAGAGCAAAAGCUGUCUUUAGGAUCUACCAUUUCUUCAGGAUGCUGCAGAACUUUAUAGCUUCAGCAGACACUGUAACCACCAUACACCAAAAAUGCAUGUUUUGGCAUCUUAAUAAACAUUUCCUGGGGAAAUAUCCGACCUGUUUACAGAAAUUGAUUAGGUGGAGAGUUUGCCCAUGCUGGCACAGGAUACCUACCUCAACAGCAGUUGGCUAUUUUGUCUUAUGACUACACCCAAACCUCCUGAAGUCCAUCACCUGGCACUCUGGAAGGCAAAGCAGUUUUGUAGCACCAAUCUGCUGGUCACCUGACUGUGGGGAUAUGCAUGUGCUGACUAAUGGACCCAAAAGAGGCAAAGAGGUGGAACAGAAAGCCAUGGAAGGGAAUGCUUUUUUUGCUUUCAGAAGUUUUCAGAGACUGUAAUUACUGGCAGAGGCUCAGAAAAUGCAUGACCAGCCAAGAGAUGCAAUGAUUCUGCAGAUUCGGCGCUUUUCCGAAGUAUCUUUUUGUCAAAAGUUUUUCUGCAGCAACUUCAACAGAUUCAUUUUUUUUACAGUUGGUGGAGCUGAUGGGAUGAAGCCUAUCCAGCUCUUCUUUUGUCGAGGGCCAGCAUUUUUCACAGUGAAGACAUAAAAGCAGUAUCAGCAUAAUGUGGUUUUUUUGUUUGUUUGGUUGGUUUGUUGGUCUUCAAAACCUAUCCUUUUCAGGUUGGAUAUUGGGAAAAAUUUCUUUUCCAGAAGAGUGGUCAGGUGCUAGAACAGGUUGCCCAGGGAAGUGGUGAAGUUACAGUCCCUGGAGGUGUUCAGGGAACAUGUAAUGUGGUAUUUAGGGACAUGGUUUAAUGGGGGAAUAACGAUGGCAGGUGGACAGUUGGACUGGAUGAUCUUGGAGGUCUCUUCCAACCUUAACGAUUCUAUGAUUCUAUUAAAUCAGCAAAACUAACCUCAUCCAGCUCCAGUGUAAGGUACACUUAUACCAGUAUAAGACAUCUUCUGAGGAUUAAUGUAUGUUGUCUGGGAACAGGUUUAGUUUCAUGGAUAAAAGCCACUGGAAAUGGGGCAUGAACUUCUCUUCAGGUGCUGUGCCUGUGUUAGAUACCACAGCCAUCUACAGACCACUGUCUGGCAUGGAUUAGAUUCUAGACUGAAGAAGCCUGGCUCCAUCUUUCUGUCCCUUCCCCAUCCAAACUGUUACCAUGCAAGCAGCAGCCUGAGCUUGUCCAUCUUGUUACCUGAUGAAGCCCUUGGGAGAGUGCUGCAUUUGAACAUGCUCUGUUAGACCUGGCUUACUCUGCUCCCUCUGUAAGUUGCUGGUGUGUGUCUGCACCUUCAGUGAGUCGAAGCAACUCAAACAGCGCUGCUCCUGUUCAGCCCAGCUGAACUGAUCCACCUUUUCUCAUCUGGUCCUUUAACCAGCCCCUCUUUCUUUCUCCAACUUCUUUUCUCAUCCACAUUUACCAGUCUAGUGUUUUGAAUUUUUAUGCAGUCUGCUUUCAUAUUCUGUUAAAAAUGCAUCUCUGGUAUCAGGCACAUCAUUUUUAAGCCUCCAUCGUGCCAAGAGAGUUAGCAAAACAUCAGUUUUUCACUUCAGUUCCCAACCCAUAUGUUUUCAAGUAGCACCAGGGAAACAUUUUUUAAAGGACAGACUCCAGAGAUGUCUUCUAAUAUCAUCAGCAAUGAUAAUCAAAAGCUGCUUCUGUAGAAGCCUGCGGGAUUAUCAGUCUCUCAAAAGGAAAUUCAGCAACUUUUCUUGCAGUAACAUUUAUUCUCCACUCUUCCACCUCUAGCUAUCAUUCACCUCGAGGUGCUGACACCCGGGACAACUCCAUUUCCAUAUGUGUUACCUAUUUACAUGUCAGGAGGGACCCCUAAUCUGGGGCCACUGCCCCUCCUGACUUUUCAAGGGAAAUGUAACUCAAAUGCUAAUAGCAGCUCAUCAUAGUUGAUAGAUUAUUCAAGUUAUGCCUCAUUUGCAGUUGCAAGACACACCUCAGAGGAAAUUUUUUUUUUCUUCUCAAAUUUAGACAUAAUUUCAGCUAUUCACGACAUCCACACUAGGUCUGAGACUCCUCUACAAAGAAACACAUUCCAUUCUUCAAGCUAUUUUGACUAACUCUGCUCAGGCCCAGAGCUAAUGCAGCAUGUUCCUGCCCUGUGCCUGGCGGUGUGCUGGAUAUUUAGGAAUAUCCACCUAGCGAUCCUCCUUCCCGCACAUCUUCCUGCUGGUGACCUCUUUGUUACGGAGGGUAACAUCAGCAGAGCACAGAGGGGCAGGAGUGACAGUGGAUCUCCUGAAAAAAAUUCAUCCAAACAUUUUCCAGGAUUGCUUUAUCACCAGCAAUCUCUCUGUUGGCCAUUCUUCCAUUCCUCAGACAUCUUCAGACUUUCCAGACCCACUGGGAGCAGCUAAGUAUCACCUUGGCUGGGGGACAAAUGGAGCUGCAGAGCCCAGCAGUGCCCCACUGGUGCCUGCAACAGGAUGCCAGGUCCUUGUGCCUACCUCUUCCGGGAUAAGCUCCUGAGCAAAACGUAUUGGCCAUAGGAAAUCCUGUAAGGAUGAGAAUAUGACAAAAAGAGCAACAAACGACCCCGGUAAGGCCUGCUGGCUGCCCUUCCUUUCCUCGAGUGGCUGGAAGACCAGCCUGCAGUUACCUUUAGCACCCUGAAGAGAGCAUGGGCAAUGCCUGGGGCUGGUGCUUGUUAAGGCAGAAGAGCAGGAUCCGAUCACGGCCCGGGACUGGGCACACAUGUAGAACUGGAACAGGAGAAAUUGAAAUGGAAAUGAAGUGCCCUGGCAAUAAAUUUCCCAGCAGCCUAAUUUUCCCAGCGAUGACACCCUGGGCAGAGCCUGUGUGGCCCAGAAAGGAGCGGGUUUUAAAUUUUCUAAAAUUCGCUAAUCCGCUUUAUCAGCCGCCUCUCCCAAAACUGCCGCCGCUCCCUGAGAGAUUUAAAGCCGCUGUGGCUCCUCCAAGGCCUUUUCCUGAUUAUGAUGUUUAUUCUCAUCCAGUCAAGACAGAGCAACAUUAGCAUGUGAUUUACCGUGCGCGGCCAAUCGCAGAUACCAGCACUCAACAUCUGAAAUUCAAGCAGCAGCUCCUCGCAGUAAACUGGUCAGGAUCAAUCCGGAGAUAAGAAGGACGGCCCUACCUCUUUAGAAGGCAGUGGGGGUUCAUAUUCGAGGUCUGUCAGUCUUAUCCUGCUGAGCACAAUGCUCUGCAUCGCUCCUAGGAAUCAGUGCGGGCAAUGACAGCCGUGCAGUAUUAAUACGUGCCCCGGUGCUGGCUUUAAUUCCAUUCUUUUGUUUAGAUUUUUUUUGCUUGCAACCAUCCGCUUCUCCUCUCAGGUUUCAAGCCUUUGUAUAUAUCUGUCAAGCAGGCGGUGCAUUCGGGACAGGUUUUCAUGCCAAGGCAUUCUUUUACCUAAUGAAAACAAGUGAAUAAAACAUAAGAGAAGUUCUUUUAAAUUAAAAAUAGAGAAACAAAACUGAAGAAAGCCAAUACCUGAAGGAGAACAUCUAUUUUCCUAGAAAAAUGCCUGCUGAAUGGAUGAAUUUUUAUAUAUUUCUUCUAAUUUAGGAAUAUGCUUAUAAUUACACCCUAAUUAAAUAGGGAGAAAGGACCAUGUGUGGCAGCAGAGAAAUACAUGCAUGCAUGAAGAGUCAAGAAAAUCCAAGUAAACUUCUGAUAGCAAGACACAGCCAUGCAGAGCAGUGACUUUCCAAAACUGAAAUUUUGUCCCAAGGGCCCCCAGUCUGUAUUAUUAAUGCCAUUUUUCUUAGCCUGCAUUUUCAUUUCCAUUUGAGUGGGGGAGAAAACAAAGGCAAAAACUCCAGGAAGUUGGAAAGGACUGAGCUGCCUCUAAGCCACGAG
ensembl:lncRNA